rnacentral:rRNA from 1 species
UUCCUACGGGAGGCAGCAGUAGGGAAUCUUGCGCAAUGGGCGAAAGCCUGACGCAGCAACGCCGCGUGGGGGAUGAAGGCCUUCGGGUUGUAAACCCCUUUCAGCAGGGACGAAUUUGACGGUACCUGCAGAAGAAGCCCCGGCCAACUACGUGCCAGCAGCCGCGGUAAUACGUAGGGGGCAAGCGUUGUCCGGAUUCAUUGGGCGUAAAGAGCUCGUAGGCGGCUUGAUAAGUCGGGUGUGAAAUCUCCAGGCUCAACCUGGAGUCGCCACUCGAUACUGUUAUGGCUUGAGUCCGGUAGGGGACCACGGAAUUCCUGGUGUAGCGGUGAAAUGCGCAGAUAUCAGGAGGAACACCGGUGGCGAAGGCGGUGGUCUGGGCCGGCACUGACGCUGAGGAGCGAAAGCGUGGGUAGCGAACAGGAUUAGAUACCCUGGUAGUCCACGCCGUAAACGUUGGGCACUAGGUGUGGGAACCUAUCGACGGUUUCCGUGCCGUAGCUAACGCAUUAAGUGCCCCGCCUGGGGAGUACGGCCGCAAGGCUAAAACUCAAAGAAAUUGACGGGGGCCCGCACAAGCGGCGGAGCAUGUUGCUUAAUUCGAUGCGACGCGAAGAACCUUACCUGGGUUGAACUACGCCGGAAAAGCCGUAGAGAUACGGUGUCCGUAAGGGCCGGCGAUAGGUGGUGCAUGGCUGUCGUCAGCUCGUGUCGUGAGAUGUUGGGUUAAGUCCCGCAACGAGCGCAACCCUUGUCCUAUGUUGCCAGCGGAUUAUGCCGGGGACUCGUAGGAGACUGCCGGGGUCAACUCGGAGGAAGGUGGGGACGACGUCAAGUCAUCAUGCCCCUUACGUCCAGGGCUGCAAACAUGCUACAAUGGCCGGUACAAAGGGCUGCUAUUCCGCGAGGAUGAGCGAAUCCCAAAAAGCCGGUCUCAGUUCGGAUUGGAGUCUGCAACUCGACUCCAUGAAGUCGGAGUCGCUAGUAAUCCCGGAUCAGCAACGCCGGGGUGAAUACGUUCCCGGGCCUUGUACACACCGCCAA